GCCAAGAUGGCCGAGUGGUUAAGGCGAUGGUUUUAAGUCGUGGCUCCCUUCAGCUUGAACACCAUUAUCGAGAGAUUCCAGGGUUCGAACCCCUGUCUUGGCA
rnacentral:tRNA from 1 species